rnacentral:rRNA from 1 species
UACGAGGGGGGCAAGCGUUGUUCGGAAUUACUGGGCGUAAAGCGCGCGCAGGCGGUUCUUCAAGUCAGGGGUGAAAGCCCGGAGCUCAACUCCGGAACUGCCAUUGAAACUGUAGAACUUGAGGAUGAGAGAGGUGAGUGGAAUUCCCAGUGUAGAGGUGAAAUUCGUAGAUAUUGGGAAGAACACCAGUGGCGAAGGCGGCUCACUGGCUCAUUUCUGACGCUCAGGUGCGACAGCGUGGGGAUCAAACAGG